rnacentral:tRNA from 1 species
ACUUGUAUAGCUUAAGUAAGAGCGUGGUUUUGAAGCAGCCGAGGUAGUAGCGUACUUAUAAGUA